GUGGAGCGAGGGCACCUGCGGGCACGCGGCAGGUCGUGCGCCUACAGCACGACGGCGGGUAGGGCGCCAACUUCUCAACCUAUUCUCGGGAGGGAGCUGCGGGGAGAGAGACGGUACUUGGGAUCGAGGGAGGUAAAAGGGGAGACCGCGGCAAGAGGUGGUUUAGCUCGGCGCAAGCUCUCGAGGGUACCGACGCGGCAGCUGCAACCGCGCCUGUGGCCGGAGGGGAGCGGAUAGGUCGUCCAGGUCCUCUGCGCGUGGAAGUGGGAGAAGCAGAUGCUGUUCAGCGCGCUCGUCCCUGCGGGAGUGCGGCGGCGUUAGCAGCUAGGGGUAGCAGCCGGCAGCGAAGAUGGAGCAGCAGCUGGGCGGCGACGGACGCGAGGGCAAGUAAGCUUCUCGGUGGUACACGAGGGACUGGGGUACUGCCGAUGGCUACAGCGACAUUAGCUGAUGCAGCUGCUACUGGGAGGAAGAGCGGACUCGUUGGUCUACCACCUAGGAACCUCGGUCUACGGUGGCGGCUACCUACGUUGAUGUACCUCUGGCGGCUACUGGUCCUCAUCAAUCCUCCAGGGUCCGCCCUCCGGAACCGAGAAGCUAGCACAACGAAAACACGAUCGGAAGAAUUCCGUAGGAACAAAUUGAAUAAAGACAUGAGUUUAUAACAACGAAGGCGACUGAGAACACAUAGCUCGAUACAUAAGCUCGGGAGCUCCGGGGACCGAACAUUAUAUUUCGAACAUAAUAAAAUAAACACAGAUCUCAACACAACACUAUAGAAGGGCACUCAGAAACUAGAAC
rnacentral:rRNA from 1 species